rnacentral:rRNA from 1 species
AUUGAACGCUGGCGGCAUGCCUUACACAUGCAAGUCGAACGGCAGCACGGGAGCAAUCCUGGUGGCGAGUGGCGAACGGGUGAGUAAUAUAUCGGAACGUGCCCAGUAGUGGGGGAUAGCCCGGCGAAAGCCGGAUUAAUACCGCAUACGACCUGAGGGUGAAAGCGGGGGAUCGCAAGACCUCGCGCUAUUGGAGCGGCCGAUAUCAGAUUAGCUAGUUGGUGGGGUAAAGGCCUACCAAGGCUACGAUCUGUAGUUGGUCUGAGAGGACGACCAGCCACACUGGGACUGAGACACGGCCCAGACUCCCACGGGAGGCAGCAGUGGGGAAUUUUGGACAAUGGGCGCAAGCCUGAUCCAGCAAUGCCGCGUGCAGGAAGAAGGCC